GAUGAACGCUAGCGGCAGGCCUAAUACAUGCAAGUCGAGGGGUAUCCCGCUUUCGGGCGGGAGAGACCGGCGCACGGGUGCGUAACGCGUAUGCAACCUACCCAUAUCUGGGGGAUAGCCCGGAGAAAUCCGGAUUAACACCGCAUAAAAUCACAGUACGGCAUCGUACAAUGGUCAAAUAUUGAUAGGAUAUGGAUGGGCAUGCGUGUCAUUAGCUGGUUGGCGGGGUACCGGCCCACCAAGGCGACGAUGACUAGGGGAGCUGAGAGGAUGGCACCCCACACUGGUACGGGGACACGGACAAGACUCCUAAGGGAGGCAGCAGUAAGGAAUAUUGGUCAAUGGGCGGAAGCCUGAACCAGCCAUGCCGCGUGCAGGAAGACGGCCCUCUGGGUUGUAAACUGCUUUUAUUCGGGAAUAAACCUGCAUACGUGUAUGCAGCUGAACGUACCGAAGGAAUAAGGAUCGGCUAACUCCGUGCCAGCAGCCGCCGUAA
rnacentral:rRNA from 1 species